UCCAAUCUUUACUUCACACGUGUUCACGUCUUUCCGUGACCAAGGAAACCCUUCCUCCAAUGGGAUCAAAGAAAAGGAUGGUAGUGGAAUAAAAUAAACAAUUCCCGCAAUAGCAGUUCAGUGCUGACUUGGACCCACCUGCGACAGCAAAAGAGUGACACGUUUUAGUCACCCUCACUUUGGGUAAGCUUGGACCGUGGGUAGAUCUCAAGCUUGGGCAGUACUACCAAAGGAACAAAAAAAAGGAUAGAUCUCA
rnacentral:lncRNA from 1 species